UGCAAUUGGAUGAGACAACGUACAAACCUUAUCGAUAAACAAUUGGAGGGCAAGUCUGGUGCCAGCAGCCGCGGUAAUUCCAGCUCCAAUAGCGUAUAUUAACGUUGUUGCAGUUAAAAAGCUCGUAGUUGAAAUGAAGGGUAGUUGUGUAAUGAAUACAUUCGUGUAUUUUGUUAUUCAACUACCCUCCUUCUAAAUUCGAUAUAUGAGUAUUAAUUUACUUGUAUAUGGUUUUAGACCUUUACUGUGAGAAAAUUAGAGUGUUCAAAGCAGGCAUUUGCUUGAAUAUAUUAGCAUGGAAUAAUCAUGUAUGAUUUUCAUGAUGUAUUUGAUUGGUUUGGUUCAUGAGAAUAAGAUUAAAAGGGACAGUUGGGGGUAUUCAUAUUCAAUAGUCAGAGGUGAAAUUCUCGG
rnacentral:rRNA from 1 species